CUAAAAUGAAUGAAUAUCAACCUUUGAUUGGUAUAAUUUCCAAAUAGACAAGAAUUGCAUUCUAAGAAAUCUCAGAUGAAUGGAGGAAUAGGAAAUAAUGCAUUGUGUCCAUGGAAGUUUAUAUAGAAGAAAAUGAAGAUAGAGACCUUAAGAUGUGUCUCCUGAGGCAAGGGAAACAAAAGCAAAAUUAA